AAUGGGCGCAAGCCUGAUCCAGCAAUGCCGCGUGCAGGACGAAGGCCUUCGGGUUGUAAACUGCUUUUGUACGGAACGAAAAGCCUUCUUCUAAUACAGGAGGGUCAUGACGGUACCGUAAGAAUAAGCACCGGCUAACUACGUGCCAGCAGCCGCGGUAAUACGUAGGGUGCAAGCGUUAAUCGGAAUUACUGGGCGUAAAGCGUGCGCAGGCGGUUGUGUAAGACAGGUGUGAAAUCCCCGAGCUUAACUUGGGAAUUGCACUUGUGACUGCAAGGCUAGAGUACGGCAGAGGGGGAUGGAAUUCCGCGUGUAGCAGUGAAAUGCGUAGAUAUGCGGAGGAACACCAAUGGCGAAGGCAAUCCCCUGGGCCUGUACUGACGCUCAUGCACGAAAGCGUGGGGAGCAAA
rnacentral:rRNA from 1 species